UGUUAGAAACCACUUAUUGUG
ensembl:piRNA 21ur-10326 ncRNA